rnacentral:rRNA from 1 species
AGAGUUUGAUCCUGGCUCAGGACGAACGCUGGCGGCGUGCCUAAUACAUGCAAGUCGAGCGGACAGAUGGGAGCUUGCUCCCUGAUGUUAGCGGCGGACGGGUGAGUAACACGUGGGUAACCUGCCUGUAAGACUGGGAUAACUCCGGGAAACCGGGGCUAAUACCGGAUGGUUGUUUGAACCGCAUGGUUCAAACAUAAAAGGUGGCUUCGGCUACCACUUACAGAUGGACCCGCGGCGCAUUAGCUAGUUGGUGAGGUAACGGCUCACCAAGGCGACGAUGCGUAGCCGACCUGAGAGGGUGAUCGGCCACACUGGGACUGAGACACGGCCCAGACUCCCACGGGAGGCAGCAGUAGGGAAUCUUCCGCAAUGGACGAAAGUCUGACGGAGCAACGCCGCGUGAGUGAUGAAGGUUUUCGGAUCGUAAAGCUCUGUUGUUAGGGAAGAACAAGUGCCGUUCGAAUAGGGCGGUACCUUGACGGUACCUAACCAGAAAGCCACGGCUAACUACGUGCCAGCAGCCGCGGUAAUACGUAGGUGGCAAGCGUUGUCCGGAAUUAUUGGGCGUAAAGGGCUCGCAGGCGGUUUCUUAAGUCUGAUGUGAAAGCCCCCGGCUCAACCGGGGAGGGUCAUUGGAAACUGGGGAACUUGAGUGCAGAAGAGGAGAGUGGAAUUCCACGUGUAGCGGUGAAAUGCGUAGAGAUGUGGAGGAACACCAGUGGCGAAGGCGACUCUCUGGUCUGUAACUGACGCUGAGGAGCGAAAGCGUGGGGAGCGAACAGGAUUAGAUACCCUGGUAGUCCACGCCGUAAACGAUGAGUGCUAAGUGUUAGGGGGUUUCCGCCCCUUAGUGCUGCAGCUAACGCAUUAAGCACUCCGCCUGGGGAGUACGGUCGCAAGACUGAAACUCAAAGGAAUUGACGGGGGCCCGCACAAGCGGUGGAGCAUGUGGUUUAAUUCGAAGCAACGCGAAGAACCUUACCAGGUCUUGACAUCCUCUGACAAUCCUAGAGAUAGGACGUCCCCUUCGGGGGCAGAGUGACAGGUGGUGCAUGGUUGUCGUCAGCUCGUGUCGUGAGAUGUUGGGUUAAGUCCCGCAACGAGCGCAACCCUUGAUCUUAGUUGCCAGCAUUCAGUUGGGCACUCUAAGGUGACUGCCGGUGACAAACCGGAGGAAGGUGGGGAUGACGUCAAAUCAUCAUGCCCCUUAUGACCUGGGCUACACACGUGCUACAAUGGACAGAACAAAGGGCAGCGAAACCGCGAGGUUAAGCCAAUCCCACAAAUCUGUUCUCAGUUCGGAUCGCAGUCUGCAACUCGACUGCGUGAAGCUGGAAUCGCUAGUAAUCGCGGAUCAGCAUGCCGCGGUGAAUACGUUCCCGGGCCUUGUACACACCGCCCGUCACACCACGAGAGUUUGUAACACCCGAAGUCGGUGAGGUAACCUUUUAGGAGCCAGCCGCCGAAGGUGGGACAGAUGAUUGGGGUGAAGUCGGAACAAGGUA